rnacentral:lncRNA from 1 species
AUGGUCCCCCAACUAUUGCUCUAGUAUCAUUUUGGUCAACCAACUAAAAUUUUCAUUUCAAACGUCCUUAAACUUUUUAUUUUGUGCCAAGAUGAUCCAUCCGUGACAGAUUUCGUGACUUCUAAUCACGCGAUAGCCACGUGACUGAGUUUUGAAGGAUAUAUGUGACUUUUUGAGAAGCUCUGUCGAAGGGUAUGACUGAAAUGGUCCCUCAACUAUUGCUCCAGUAUCAUUUUGGUCCACCAACUAAAAUUUUCAUUUGAACCGUCCUUCCACUUUUUUUUUUAUUUGUAUCAAGAUGGUCCUAUUGUUAAAGUCCGUCAAUUUUAUUGUUAUUUAUUUUUUUUAUCUUCUUUUAAAAAAAUUAAUUAAUUUAAACAAUAGAGAAAAAAUAUAUAUUACUUUUUAAGUCUAUGUCAUAAAAAAAAAUUAAAUAAAAUUAAAUAAAAAAAAG